rnacentral:rRNA from 1 species
AGUGAACGCUGGCGGUAGGCCUAACACAUGCAAGUCGAACGGCAGCACAGUAAGAGCUUGCUCUUACGGGUGGCGAGUGGCGGACGGGUGAGGAAUACAUCGGAAUCUACUUUUUCGUGGGGGAUAACGUAGGGAAACUUACGCUAAUACCGCAUACGACCUACGGGUGAAAGCAGGGGAUCUUCGGACCUUGCGCGAUUGAAUGAGCCGAUGUCGGAUUAGCUAGUUGGCGGGGUAACGGCCCACCAAGGCGACGAUCCGUAGCUGGUCUGAGAGGAUGAUCAGCAACACUGGAACUGAGACACGGUCCAGACCCCUACGGGAGGCAGCAGUGGGGAAUGUUGGACAAUGGGCGCAAGCCUGAUCCAGCCAUACCGCGUGGGUGAAGAAGGCCUUCGGGUUGUAAAGCCCUUUUGUUGGGAAAGAAAAGCAGCAGGUUAAUACCCCGCUGUUCUGACGGUACCCAAAGAAUAAGCACCGGCUAACUUCGU